UUAUAGUUGCGCAGGCACUUUGUUGACUCUAGAGAACCUCAGGUCAAUCGCACAUCCCCGUGAUGGCGACUAUGCAUUUGGAUGUCAUCCAUAUGAACUUUCAAUGCCAGUUUCUGCGCCUACCAGGGUGACCAUAGGUAACGGGGAAUCAGGGUCCCAUUCCGUACAGGAACCCUGAGAAAUGGCUACCACAUACAAGGAAGGCAGCAGGCGCGCAAAUGACCCACUCCCGACGCGGGAAGGUAGUGACGA